UACGUAGGGUGCAAGCGUUAAUCGGAAUUACUGGGCGUAAAGCGUGCGCAGGCGGUUAUAUAAGACAGUUGUGAAAUCCCCGGGCUCAACCUGGGAACUGCAUCUGUGACUGUAUAGCUAGAGUACGGUAGAGGGGGAUGGAAUUCCGCGUGUAGCAGUGAAAUGCGUAGAUAUGCGGAGGAACACCGAUGGCGAAGGCAAUCCCCUGGACCUGUGACUGACGCUCAUGCACGAAAGCGUGGGGAGCAACAGG
rnacentral:rRNA from 1 species